rnacentral:rRNA from 1 species
GACAGAGGAUGCAAGCGUUAUCCGGAAUGAUUGGGCGUAAAGCGUCUGUAGGUGGCUUUUAAGUCCGCCGUCAAAUCCCAGGGCUCAACCCUGGACAGGCGGUGGAAACUACCAAGCUGGAGUACGGUAGGGGCAGAGGGAAUUUCCGGGUGGGAGCGGUGAAAUGCGUAGAGAUCGGAAAGAACACCAACGGCGAAAGCACUCGUGCUGGGCCGACA